AGAGUUUGAUCCUGGCUCAGGACGAACGCUGGCGGCGUGCUUAACACAUGCAAGUCGAACGGUGACGAGGAGCUUGCUCCUCUGAUCAGUGGCGAACGGGUGAGUAACACGUGAGCAACCUGCCCCAGACUCUGGGAUAACAGUUGGAAACAGCUGCUAAUACCGGAUACGAGACGGAGAGGCAUCUCUACCGUCUGGAAAGUUUUUCGGUCUGGGAUGGACUCGCGGCCUAUCAGCUAGUUGGUGAGGUAAUGGCUCACCAAGGCGACGACGGGUAGCCGGCCUGAGAGGGCGACCGGCCACACUGGGACUGAGACACGGCCCAGACUCCUACGGGAGGCAGCAGUGGGGAAUAUUGCACAAUGGGCGAAAGCCUGAUGCAGCGACGCCGCGUGAGGGAUGACGGCCUUCGGGUUGUAAACCUCUUUCAGCAGGGAAGAAGCGAAAGUGACGGUACCUGCAGAAGAAGCACCGGCUAACUACGUGCCAGCAGCCGCGGUAAUACGUAGGGUGCGAGCGUUGUCCGGAAUUAUUGGGCGUAAAGAGCUUGUAGGCGGUUUGUCGCGUCUGCAGUGAAAAUCCGAGGCUCAACCUCGGACUUGCUGUGGGUACGGGCAGACUAGAGUAUGGUAGGGGAGACCGGAAUUCCUGGUGUAGCGGUGGAAUGCGCAGAUAUCAGGAGGAACACCGAUGGCGAAGGCAGGUCUCUGGGCCAUAACUGACGCUGAGAAGCGAAAGCAUGGGGAGCGAACAGGAUUAGAUACCCUGGUAGUCCAUGCCGUGAACGUUGCCGCUAGGUGUGGGGCUCAUUCCACGAGCUCCGUGCCGCAGCUAACGCAUUAAGCGCCCCGCCUGGGGAGUACGGCCGCAAGGCUAAAACUCAAAGGAAUUGACGGGGGCCCGCACAAGCGGCGGAGCAUGCGGAUUAAUUCGAUGCAACGCGAAGAACCUUACCAAGGCUUGACAUAUACCGGAAACAUCCAGAGAUGGGUGCCCCGCAAGGUCGGUAUACAGGUGGUGCAUGGUUGUCGUCAGCUCGUGUCGUGAGAUGUUGGGUUAAGUCCCGCAACGAGCGCAACCCUCGUUCUAUGUUGCCAGCGCGUAGUGGCGGGGACUCAUAGGAGACUGCCGGGGUCAACUCGGAGGAAGGUGGGGAUGACGUCAAAUCAUCAUGCCCCUUAUGUCUUGGGCUUCACGCAUGCUACAAUGGCCGGUACAAAGGGCUGCGAUACCGCGAGGUGGAGCGAAUCCCAAAAAACCGGUCUCAGUUCGGAUUGGGGUCUGCAACUCGACCCCAUGAAGUCGGAGUCGCUAGUAAUCGCAGAUCAGCAACGCUGCGGUGAAUACGUUCCCGGGCCUUGUACACACCGCCCGUCAAGUCACGAAAGUCGGUAACACCCGAAGCCGGUGGCCCAACCCUUGUGGAGGGAGCCGUCGAAGGUGGGACUGGCGAUUGGGACUAAGUCGUAACAAGGUAGCCAUACCG
rnacentral:rRNA from 1 species